UCCAAAGCAAACCCUGGAUUUCCGUGUCCAAUUUUAACUGUCCGUUUUAUAUAAUUUUUUUUUAUAAUUCGUAUUUUUAUUGUUGUUGGAUGAUAAAAUAUGAUUAAUAUUUUAUGCGCGACUUAUCUUUUUAAUUUUUUUUUAAUUUUUUUAAAUAAGACAGACGGUCAAAUAUUGGGCACGAAAACCAUGGUUUGUCCUUUUU
rfam:Oryza rufipogon genomic scaffold, chr03